CAGUCGCCACGGUAAAACGGAGGGAGCGAGCGUUGUUCGGAAUUACUGGGCGUAAAGGGUGCGCAGGCGGCUUUGUAAGUUGGGAGUGAAAUCCCUGGGCUUAACCCAGGAAUUGCUUUCAAAACUACAAGGCUAGAGUCUCGGAGAGGUUAGCGGAAUUCCCAGUGUAGAGGUGAAAUUCGUAGAUAUUGGGAGGAACACCAGUGGCGUAAGCGGCUAACUAGACGAGUACUGACGCUCAGGCACGAAAGCGUGGGGAUCAAACAGGAUUAGAUACCCCGGUAGUCCCUGUCUCUUAUAC
rnacentral:rRNA from 1 species